rnacentral:rRNA from 1 species
UGAACCUGGUUGAUCCUGCCAGUAGUCAUAUGCUUGUCUCAAAGAUUAAGCCAUGCAUGUCUAAGUAUAAACAACUCUAUACUGUGAAACUGCGAAUGGCUCAUUAUAUCAGUUAUAGUUUAUUUGAUAGUACCUUACUACUUGGAUAACCGUAGUAAUUCUAGAGCUAAUACAUGCCAAAAUCGGUGACUUCG